UACCAUGUGUGGACAUAGCAAGAAGGCAGCAUCUGUAAACUAGGAAGGAGGCCCUCACCAGACUUGGAAUCUGCUGGCUUCCUGAUCUUGGCCUUUCUAGCCUCCAGAACUGAACAUGGAUGAAGCUGGAGGCCAUUAUUCUUAGCAAACUAACACAAGAACAGAAAACCAAAUACCGCAUGUUCUCCCUUAUAAGUGGGAGCUACAUGAUGAGAUGAGAACACUGCCCAAAGGAACCAAGUGAAAUUACCAAAUUAGAAGUGAUAAGAGGUUGGACUCUCUCCACAAAUUUAUUGUAAUUAGCAAGAGGUAAUGGUGUCUAAAUAAGAUGAAAGAAGAUAUUUUAAAGAUGAUAAUAACAAAAACUACUAGAAAAAGGUGAAGCCAGAAAGGAAGAGUCAUAAUCAAAGAGAGUGAUCAAGAAUCCAAAAUAGACAGAGAGAGCAGGCUCUUAGAGAAAUGGGAGAACUACAACACUGACUCUGCACGUAGGAGGCAGGCAGGAGAGGAGCGCCCCAGCCAGAGUUCAACAUGCACAAACAGGAAGUGUGUCCAAGGUUCUCUGGAGCUCACAGGAAGCCGGGGACCGACAGC